rnacentral:rRNA from 1 species
GACGAACGCUGGCGGCGUGCUUAACACAUGCAAGUCGAACGGAAAGGCCCUGCUUUUGUGGGGUGCUCGAGUGGCGAACGGGUGAGUAACACGUGAGUAACCUGCCCUUGACUUUGGGAUAACUUCAGGAAACUGGGGCUAAUACCGGAUAGGAGCUCCUGCUGCAUGGUGGGGGUUGGAAAGUUUCGGCGGUGUGGGAUGGACUCGCGGCUUAUCAGCUUGUUGGUGGGGUAGUGGCUUACCAAGGCUUUGACGGGUAGCCGGCCUGAGAGGGUGACCGGCCACAUUGGGACUGAGAUACGGCCCAGACUCCUACGGGAGGCAGCAGUGGGGAAUAUUGCACAAUGGGCGGAAGCCUGAUGCAGCAACGCCGCGUGCGGGAUGACGGCCUUCGGGUUGUAAACCGCUUUCGCCUGUGACGAAGCGUGUGUGACGGUAAUGGGUAAAGAAGCACCGGCUAACUACGUG